rnacentral:lncRNA from 1 species
AAAGUAGAGGUAAUCCCAGGUGGGACUCAACCCCUUUUGCAUCAGCCAACAUUAAUCCCACUUCCUCACUCUCUCUAUCCAAACACCAAACCCCACAUAAAACACCAAAAAAAAGAACCUAACACGGUGCCAAGGCAAGAAAUACACAGCGGCGCACAUGAACACCACGGCGGCGCUGCCGUGGUCCACCCAGAAAUUAACCGGAAUUCACAUUCCACUCAAACGAACCUUCCUUCUUCCAAAUCUAAACCUAGAAUUCACAAAUAAAACCGCACGAAACCCCAAACAACGCGAUCUACUACACCAACCUAAAAUCUAACAAAUCCUAAAUUAAAUCAAGACUAUUAACUAUCCAAACAACAAAAGGGAAGGCUCCUACUCAAUCAAACAUGGCGAACGCGAAAACACGGUCGAUUUGAAUUUGAAACGGAAAGGAAGUCUACCUGAACUGUGAUAGUCCAACGACGUCCUCUCCGACAACCUUUAGAUAAGUUAAUCCUUUCUCUUCGCGAUGUCCUCUUUCUUCUUCUCUCUCUACUUUGGAUUACCAUUUAGCUGUCGCGCUCUAGCUUCAAUUUUAAGGAUUUCUUUGUUUGAGCUUUUACAAAAAAGGGUUUUUUUGGGGAUUUUCUCUUUUUUUUUACAGAAUAACAGUCGUCUCCUUCAAUGAUUUUGGAUCCUCUCUUUAUAGAGGGAAUGAUUAGGAGUUGGCAUUAUGCACGUGUUCUGCCCCGACGAAAAUAAUUUGUUAGAGAGGGAUCUCAUGUACGAUUUUAUGGGGACCGAAUGUUCCUACUUGAUUCUGUUAAGAGCAACCCUGUUUUCAUUAGUAGCGAGUGAGAAUUUUUCAUAGAUUAUGUGGUCCCUUGAAUCUGGCAUUAUCUCAUCGAUUUUCACUGCUGUAAAAAAAUGGAUUGAUUGUUUACCAUUGUGAAAUUAACAAAUGUAUGCCUCUGAAAAACACGGCUUGGUGGUUUUGUUGUUUUCAACUGAUAUGAGGAUUUUAGAAAAUAGUUGGAAAUAUUUGUUAGUUGUUCAAAGACAUUCUUAUGUCCAUCUUGCUUUCUUCUUCUAUGUUUAAGCUGAUCUACAAUUCACUUGGCAACACCCUGCAUGGUUAUAGUGACAAUAUGGCUUUUGAACAAAUUCUUUCCUUUUGCAAGUUGCAGUUUUGGCAUCAUCAUUUUCUAAGUUUGAAGACUGUCAAAGUUGUUCUUUGAAAAAUCAUAUUCUACAUAUGGAACUUUGAUCUAAUAUUCUAAACGCUUUUCACCUUUGACAGGUUGUGAUUAUCAUUCCAAUCAUACGGAUGCUAUGAAGGACUCUUAAUAUCUUGGAUGACUUGAAGUGAGCUUCAUAAGUGAAUCAACUCCUUUGAAUUCUAAUGAGUUUCCUCACUUUUGUAGCUGGAAUCUCUUAACAUUCUUUAAAGUUUUGUCUUUCUGUAGGGCCUUCUCAAGAAGAUGAGCGAGUCGUAGGUUGAAUUGGCAUCAACUGCGAGUUUUUUCUUAAGUGAGCAAGGGGCCUUAUAAGGAACAUCGUUGGCAGGGUGUUUUUAGGGCUUUGCUUAUUUUGAAUAUUAUUUAUCUCCUUUAGACUUGAUUUAUGAAGUAGAAGCAAAUUGUAUGUAAAGGUUACGUAAAAUGUCCAAACUAUGUGGCAUGUAUUACCUUUUUCCAACUUGUAACUUUGACUUUGGGUAAUUUCUUUGCGCGAAUUGGAUAAAACACGUUUUGGAUGUGCAACUCACUUGAGACAUCCUAGUUUUCCAAUGUGAAAUAAUCAUUGAAUCAUAAUUUGUAAAUCCUCCUCACAUUGUGACCCCCCACAAACUUGAAAAUGAGAUGGAAUGGACCAAAAGAAAACUGCAAAACUAACACACAAAUCAAUAGGCCUACAUUUUCCUUAUUACAAAAACAAAACUACCAUGCUACAUUACUCCGGUCAAUCCAUCAAUCUAAUGACCAUUCAUAAUCUAAACACAACCUAGUGGUGAG